CGGCGGACGGGUGAGUAACACGUGGAUAACCUACCUAUAAGACUGGGAUAACUUCGGGAAACCGGAGCUAAUACCGGAUAAUAUAUUGAACCGCAUGGUUCAAUAGUGAAAGACGGUUUUGCUGUCACUUAUAGAUGGAUCCGCGCCGCAUUAGCUAGUUGGUAAGGUAACGGCUUACCAAGGCAACGAUGCGUAGCCGACCUGAGAGGGUGAUCGGCCACACUGGAACUGAGACACGGUCAG
rnacentral:rRNA from 1 species